UAUUAUAGAUUUGUCAGAAACUGGUGAUAUUGGGAAUUAUUAUCCCUUUGAUAGUGUCACUCAUGCACUUCUGUUUAUGCUUGUUCAUUCACCAAGACCACUGGUAGCUAUGUAUAUGAUACUAAAGUACACAAUUGUUACUUUUAGGGAGAAAAUAAUUUGAAGUUUGUUCUGUUUCUGUGUAAGAAGUUGAAUCCUGCCACUCCUAGACUUGAUCAGCUGAAGGAUUAUCAGCUUCCUUGUUUUAAACCUCCUGUGAAGUUUACUACUUCAAGUGGCACUGAUGUUUUUGUUAAUUUACCUUCAACAUUUGUUCGAAACUGCUUCGCUAACCCUUUAAUUUGCCAACACAUUGUUCGUAUGCCUAUAGUUGCAAAGGAUUUUCUUACGGAAAUAUAUCAUGGAAACAGGAAGCACACUCAAUAUCAAUGUCCAAUGGUGAUUGCAGCU